rfam:Thermoanaerobacter pseudethanolicus ATCC 33223, complete genome.
GUGGUGGUAUCUUCAUAGAACCACACACUUCAUAAAAAUUCAAUAGGGCUCAUUUCGGCCCCGCCAGGAUCACAAGACCGGGACGGGAGA